CCCACGAACCGUGAGAUGGCGACCUGAGCUGAAACCGAGAGUUGCACACGCUUAACUGACUGAGCCCCCCAGGCGCCCUGGUUGGGCAUUUGAGAUUAGGCAUUGAGAGACUUGAUUCUUCCGCCAAUAAUUUUUUCCUCUUGACGAUUGCAAGGAUUUCCUGUGGACCAGUUUCUCAUUUCCUUUCACAUCUUGUCCCUCCCCCACCCCGGCCCCCCGCUGCCCAUGUAUUUUUCUGUGCCAGGUGUCACAGAGCUCCUUUGCCCCCUGGCCGCGCACGUUUGUGACACGGUGCUGGCUGAGUUGGCAUUUCGGGUAGUAGGUGUAUUUCAGAAAGCCGUUCCUACACCCACCGUGAGCACUGAUUUAACAGAGCUCCAGUUAAAGGUAUCCCUUAAUCAUCGUCCCCAGGUCCCCAGAAAGUCCCAUUCCUGAACCCUCUAAUGCGGAGGAGUGACAGAGGGAAGUGAGGACGCAAAGAGACAGUGGUCUUACGUAUCUUGUUUUAGAAACUUCGACAGAAGCUUUGGACCAGGCGAAAAUACCGCAGCGGCCUUGGAAGGGCCUGUGUGCGCGCGGGCUUGGGAACGAGCUUCGUUCAUUGAUGGUGAACCCGCCUCUAGUCGUAGGGGACUCUCAUUCUGCUACUCUGAGCCCCGGUGACUUGUUUCCACUUAGCCUGGAUCUUUAUUCGUAUUACAUAUUACAUAUUUAUUCGCAUUCAUAUUACAUGGCCAAAGCUCCAAGAAGUCCCAACUGUAUUUCCUUGAUGUGCUAAGCUCACUGCUCCAGCCUGCGUAGCCAGUAACUGUCACGCGACGGGACAUUGUCAUCGCCUGGAGACAAGGGACAUGCAGCCAAAAGAAAACUCGGAAGAAAAAUAAGCGCAGAGGUGUCUCAGGAAGUCAAGCGACAGGAAUGACAGCCGCGAUUCCGUGUCGUUUGAAUUUUGCCCUACGGGUCAGCUCUUUUUAACAUUUGCGAGUCAUCGGGGUGUCAUUUCUCUUUCUAAGUAAACACUCGUUUCUGUA